CUUUUCCGCCUAGGUGUCUCUCU
rnacentral:miRNA from 1 species